GAGUUUGAUUAUGGCUCAGGAUGAACGCUGGCGGCGUGCCUAAUACAUGCAAGUUGAACGGACUUGGAGGGUGCUUGCACCUAACAAGUUAGUAGCGAACGGGUGAGUAAUACAUAAGCAACCUACCUAUUAGACUGGGAUAACUAUGGGAAACGAUAGCUAAUACCGGAUAGGUAACUUGAAGGCAUCUUUAAGUUAUUAAAGGUUAGAGACACUAAUAGAUGGGCUUAUGGCGUAUUAGUUAGUUGGUGAGGUAACGGCUCACCAAGACGAUGAUACGUAGCCGGCCUGAGAGGGUGAACGGCCACAUUGGGACUGAGACACGGCCCAGACUCCUACGGGAGGCAGCAGUAGGGAAUUUUCGGCAAUGGGCGCAAGCCUGACCGAGCAACGCCGCGUGAGUGAAGAAGGCCUUCGGGUUGUAAAGCUCUGUUAUAAAUUAAGAAUGGCUAUAAGGGACUAUAGAGAUGACUGUUACCGAGC
rnacentral:rRNA from 1 species